GAAGGAUCAGAAAGAGCAUCCCUCGCUGUGAGAGGCUCGUGGAGGGCGAGGCGAGGUGCGGAUGAAGGAUGCUGGAGAGCUGCUUUAGGGCCAGACGGGGGAACCUGCACUUCUUCUUCCUGAGGGCAAUGGGGAGCCAUGGAAGGUUUCCAGAGCUGAACCAGCAUCAUCUGGAGCCCUGUAAAGUCCUGAGAAACGAAGGCAGCAAAGGGCCUGAUUGUGGAAAAACCACGGGGAGUGGGCAUCACGGAGGCAGGCACAUCUGGAAAAGGCUGGACAGGAUGGGCCUCCACGGAGGAGGAGGCUGGGAGCCCUAAGCCUGGAAGGCUGGGUCUGCGGUCGCAGAAGCAUCUCUGAGCCGUUCCUUGGGAAGGAAGAGGACAAGACGUGGAAGAAAUCAAGGAGAGACGCGCCAGUGGCAGAGGUUCCACAUGAAACCAGAGCUGGGG
rnacentral:lncRNA from 1 species